rnacentral:tRNA from 1 species
GGGCGUGUAGCUCAGCUUGGUAGAGCAACGGACUCUUAAUCCGUCGGUCGAGGGUUCAAAUCCCUUCACGCUCA